GGAAGUGUGCCCGAGACAGGGACUACCUUGAUAGAGUAGACACAGGACCACAAUCCUCACUUCCU
rnacentral:tRNA from 1 species